UCGCCUCGGGAUCGGAGAGGCGGCAGCUUGUGCAACGGGUAGUGCUGCAGAAGGGCGGGCGGCGCUCCCUCUCAUCUCCCCGCAGAGACAGCGCCCCCGCGCCGCCCCGCGAGCAGCGGGCGAAAGGGGACGGGCGGGCGGGCGCGCGCCUCUGAGGGCUCGCGAGGGCGCGGCGUGCCCGGCUCCCGUCUUCUCCCUCCGGCACCUCGGCACUGGCUCCUGACGCAGCCGUACGCUCGUGGCCCUGAGAGGAGCUGCCAAGCUUAACUUUCGACAGAGAGGAACAUGUUGCCAGUGUGCUUUUCCUGUCCCAGCGCAAACACCCGGGCCGGCAUCACUGUCGUCGCACCUGGGGCAAUUUUGUCUCUCGGUGCCGACGCUGGGAUCUCAAAACAAGUUGUUCGCAUGUUCUAGAGCACUGGAGAAAGGGCUGUUCGAUCUAGUUCUCUGGCGCUGACUUGUGCGCCUUGGACGGUUUGGUAAUCUCUGUGCUUUAAAGCAUCGGUACAUUGGUGUAAACUAUCCCAUGUGUAUUCUGAUCCUCUGGAAAAUAUGCAUCAGGAUCGCAAAACAUGAAAUUUAUUGUGUAUCAAAAUUUUGCUCUCUAUAUUGCUCAGAGUUGGGGGCCCUAUCUUGGUGGGUGUUGGUUUUCUUGUUUGUUUGUUUGUUUUUGAAGUUUUAGAUAUUUUGACAGUAGGUAAAUCCAAAAAGCUAAAAAUCAGUAAUAUCCUCGUCAAAUAAAAUUUCAUAUAUUCAAAUCACUAUGAAAAUGAAAGUCUAGAAAUUUUGAGGUACAGUUUUCAUCUCUGCCACUUUUCAUCUCUGUCUAUGCUGGGAUCAAGAGCAGUGUAGUGUUGAGACUUUUUACAGAUCCUCUUCCCUCCGUAAACUUAGGUUGGUCGUACCCUUCCACUGAACCAUCUUUCACAUAUAGCCCAACACUGUGUACAUACAAUGUCCAUCUAUUUAAGCCACGCUGACCUUUGUUGUUUGCAUGACUUGUGCUCUGCUAAGUUUAUCUUCUGUCCUCACCCCAGUUUUUGAGUUUACCCAGUACCAUAUUAUCCUGUAUUUCAUCCAUCUUCUACCUUGUCUUUAAAUUAUUUCACAAAUGCCUGUCAUCUUCUAGGAAACUUGUCUCAUGCAUUGAGUUCUCUCACAGUUCAAUCUACUGUCUUCAUUUUUCAAUGUUGUUUUUUAUCAAAAAAACUUUGCAGUAGAACUUGGUCCAAAACACAAGGCUUUUAUUGACCCGUUAUUUAAUCAGUUUCCAACAUUACUCAUGGGUGAGCAUAUUUGUGGUAAAAUCACCCGCACUGAUCAAAUGCUUUUGUGACAGAAGUUCCUUCUUUGUUCUGCAAUCUGAGAUCUGCUGUUUUUCAGUACUCUACAUGUUGUGGUCACUUUGUGUUCUUGGUACAAGUCAACUGGAAGAGUUUUCCAAGGCAGCAGAUAAUGACAACGUUAGUUCAGAUGUCUCAAUAUUUAUAUCUCAAAUAUAAAAGCCAGAGCUUAGAAGAAAAUAAAGCAAACUACCAAGAGUGUCAUCUGUAUUAAUAAUGGCAUGGAUAGCCUCCCUGAAGAAACAAGAUCAAAUUGAGACCUGUGCUUUUGAUAUGGUUAAUGGUAUGGUUCAAACUUCUCAUUAUCUAUGUAAAAACAUUCAUAGAGAGAAAGCCAUUUAAACUUGAGACUGUACUAUGGAAGACUGAAAUGUCUAGGAAUAGAAAAAGCAUAUUUACUAUUAAAGCCUCAAAUCCAGUAGUUGAAAUAAGGAUACCUCAUAACAGCAAAAUUAGGUUGUGGUCUGUUGUCUGAAGAGUUAAGCAGAAGUACUCACCUAAGUACUUCCCAGUCCAGCUGCUGCUUUCCAUACAGGAUGCCAUAUUUUCAGUUACGCUGGUUUAUGAAACCAGAUUAUGAAAUAAUUUAGAAAAGUAACAUUGGAGGACAUAUAAAAGUUGGAAGCUUUUAAUUUUUAACCUGGAUCCACUCCCUCACAAUUUUUGCAGUGCAACUCCUGAAAUACUUGCUUGGGCAAAAUAUGUUGUGCUUCAAUUUUACAAUAAAUUAAAUGUCUGUUUAAUAAAAAGCAGUGAUAAAAUUGCUAAACAGAUUAGAUUCUCAAAUCAUAUCAUCACUCAAUAUUGAUUUUAACCUGUUGAGUUUUAGGGAAUAGAUUUAAGAUGGGAAUACUAGAAACUUGUAUGGAGUAUUUUGUCCAACUAGUAACCACGUGAAUAUAUCUAUUUUAAAUGGAGUCUGGGUUAACAAAUGAGAAGAUGCUCUGAUUUGUUUCUUCUUAGAACAGGAAGAACCUGUAUUAUUUGCUGUUGGCACUUGGCAUACAACAACCAGCUGGUUUCUGAGAACAACAUAUCUAAUAAUUAAAUGAAAACCAUGUUGUUUAUUGUAGGCUCAGUGUAACAUUAAUAGCAGGGAGAGCAUUUGCAAGUGUUGUGAAAGGUAGCAGAGGAGUGAAAUUAAUUUAUGCAAGUUGAUGUAAGCUGUAAGGUGCACAUUAAGUUUGAAAGUAGUUUUUAUGGUGCUCGUGCCCAUUCUGUAGACUUGCAUUUGCCUGACAUGUAAGUUCAUAUAAAUUGAGCAAGAUUGUUCACUUGUUUGAUGUUACUGUGAUAUUUGAAAACUUACUUGUACUAACUAGUAGAACAAGGACAGUUCCAGAGACUGAUAUGGUGUCAAAUCUGAGUUCUCUUAUGUUUAUCCAGUCUCUUUCAGUUUAUAGUUUCAGAAUUUGAAAUAGUUUGCAGGGAGAUCAAUGAAUACUCUACUAAUGCAGGCAUCAGUGUUAAAUGAUAAGAUUUCGCCAGUUCUGCUGAAGUCCUGUGCCAGAGUAUUAAUUUCUUGCGUGAUUUUGAACAGAAGGAAAUGAUUCAUCUGAGGCUGAGCUACGUCUCAUUUUUAUCAGUGUAUAUAUGUGCGAUGAAUAAAGAUAUGGAUUAUUCCAAUGACAACUUUGUCAACGUAACUAAUACCAACCAGAUGGAACCAUUUCACAUUUAGUCGCUUCACAUGACUCGAAUCACCAGUGUGGGUGAACUAAUGUGGAUAUGCUAUCUGCCACUCAAAAAAGCACACCUCCACCUCUCUGAAAUUUAUGCCGUGAGUUUAGUCUGCAGAGUGGGGCCUCUGCAUUGAAAUGGACGUAAACUUUAUUUGAUCUGCAGAACAGGGAGAAGAAGGGCUUCCAUUUCUUUGUUCUUUACUGUUCUUGCCCUUUUCCUACCCACCACCUGCAGGGCCCCAGGAACUUAAGAUUGGGAAGGUAGUCGUUCUGGACAGAAAGUUAAAUUUAUGAAUAACAUGGUGAGAUUGUAAUGGAAAGAUGUCUUCACUGUGCUGUUCACAGUGAUGUUUAGAAUGCCGAUAUUUCUAUCAUGAGUCACUAUCAUUGGCAACCUAUGUGAAAUAAAUGUAGAAUUAGGUUUUUCCUCCAAAAUGCAGUUCUCUGCUUUUAUUAAGUGCCAGUUAGUUUUUUGUGCUUCAUUUGCCCAUCUUGGAAUGGCUGAGGUAGGUAUAAAAAUGGUUCCUAUUCAGCAUGUUUAUUUUUUUUCCAGAACUUAGUUUGACCUGACAGCUUCUGGAGAUGCAAAAGCUAUAUUAUAUCACUGCUCAACAUUUAUUUCUAACUUAUCUCACAUAUUGUAUUAUUUUAUGUAUCUAUCAAAACAUAUUUUAUGAAAGAAUCCAUUUCAAUUUUCUAUUGUACUUAGAAUAAUGUUUGCAAGAAAAAAAAUGUUUCUUUUUUCCAUCAAAAAGUGAAAAAGAAGAAAGUUUUUAAAUGAAACCUGAAUUGUUGUAGUUUAUUUCUAACAUCAGUAAUGUAGAAAGGAUACUAAUGUAGUACAAGAAAGAUUUUAAUACAUUGUGUGUAGUUCUAUUUCCUUAGUUAAUUGUAAGAAAUUAGUAAUGAGAGUCCAAUCUUUACACUCUGCCCAACUCUUCUCCUUGUCAUAUUUCUGAAAACUGCUGUCACCUACACCGAACUUCCAUCCUUGAUGAAUACUGCACUUUUUAAUCAUUGUUUUCUGGGUCAAUAUAGUUCAGAUCUUUUUUUGGAUAAUUAGAUUUUCUCCUCCAUAUGCAAUACUUCUUGGAGAAUUUUUCUUAUUUUUUUUAUUGUUGAGCAUUUGUUACUGCUCAAUUACUGUUUUGCUACAUGCUCACCUUGCUGAAACAAGAUAGAUAAUGAAGGAACAAUGUGGUAACUGAAGUGGGUUUCUGGAGUUGAAUUCCUGUCUCCACCCAUUGUUUCACAAGCUGGCAAUUUUUAUAGCAACACUUCUAAUUAGCUAUGUUAGAAACACUGGACAGUUUAUGAGCCUAAUGGCUUACACACUAACAAUCCAUACACAACAUCCUCGUAGUAUUAUUGAAUAAACUUCUCACUUUUUUGCUUAACACUGCCAAAUUAUUGACUUUUGAAAAACAGAUUUCUGUGCCUUUUCUGACAGUUCUUGGCCCGGAGCUGCCUGCAGGGCUGGAGAGACCAUCAUGAAAUGCUUGGAUCUCUCUCAGCUCCUGCUAAGUGUAUCAACCUACAAAGUAAUCAUGCACAACAGAUUUCCUUACAGAUGACGUUUUUCAGUCUCUGCACCCUUCCUCCCUGUGGACUGAGUAGUCAGUUAUCUGUUAAUCAGGUACUACACAAACUCAAAGGCUUUUACUGUAAUGGUUGUGCCACACCAAAACACAGCUGGGCACAGGAACUGAGCAUAGGUAACAGCUGCUGACUUUUAAGAAUAAUCCUAUUGAUCUGAAUGACUGGAGAAUAAAACUAGAUAAGGGAUGAAAGGAACAUAUUAUGAGGAGGCAAUGCUUAUUGAAGAAGAUAAACAAAUCACUUGAGAAGAAAUCAGCGAAGAAAGGCUAUAUAAACUGAGGUGUCUUAGCACUAGAGCACGUAGAGAGGGAGACUGAGAUACCCUGAUCAGGAAGCCAGUGGAAGAAAGGUUUGGAGACUAGUUGAGCAAGGAGAUUACAGGGGCUGAACGAUGAUCCUGGUAUUGGGAGGGAAUCAAAUGGUUGGGCAAGAAGAUCAGACUAGGCGUGUGUUACAAAAUAGUAGGAUGACACUGAGCUAAGGUGGUAAACAGAAAGGAGGGAUUUUGAGUUAAUUGAUUGGAAAGGAGUAAGGUUGAAAAAAGGUACUUACAUUUAGGGAUGGAACUGACUUACAUAUGAGAUGGAACUGUCUGGACAAGGAAUCCGUGGCACCUGAGCUAGCAAUUUCUGGUAGAGAUGUAGUAGGACACUUGACAGGAAGUUCACGUGCAGUUCUUACAUGAAGCUGUACUAGUCAGUAGAUCAGGACUGUCUAGGUAAGCAGGCUGUUGCCUACAGGACUGCUCUGUCAUAUGUUACAAAAUAUUUUAGGAGACAACAUACGAGGUAGGUGACAGUGGGAAGCAAAAUGAUAGUUCUGCAGCUAAGGCAGCUAAAUGGUGAUCACUGAAUGCUACAGAAUCACUAAAGGAUGCUGCACCAGAAUACGCACACAAAAUUGGCCAUUAAAUGCAUUUUCCCUUUUUAAGAGAAAUGUCUAUUAGAGAUGCAUUUACAGAAGUGUUUCAUGCUGCUAAGUAGUUGCAAUUUAAGUGGAGCUUGCUUAAAACACAGUUUUUUAAAACAAUUAGCAUUUAAUAAUAGAUUUUUUUAAUGUAACAUAGUAUUUAAAUGGCAUUCAUUGACUAGAGCUAAAUAGUGAUUACAAGUGAAUUUUUCAAGUGAACUCUAAAUAACUGCUUAUUCACUGAAUGAGACAGCAAUAGAGUGGUAAAAAUGUAUGAAGCCAUGUAAUUAAAUGCUGCAUCCUGCUGUAGCAUCAAUUCAGGACUCUUGUGCAGUUUUAAACCACUUCUGUGGCAGACUUAUUCAGCAUUACUGCACACAUGCAGAAUCCAACUACUUGAAUUAGCAACAUUUUUGGGGGAGUGGGAAACAAGAAAA